GACCCCUGGCCAUGCGUAGGGACACCUUGUUGGUGGCGCUGCUCUUCUAUCAGUCAGGGGACAGCAGGUGGCAGUCCUUUGUUCGUCCUAGCUUGACGUCUGGCUUGGUGACUAAAGCUGCCUUAUGCCUAGGACUCAUAA